UAACCGCCUUAUGCUUCUUUUCAAAACCAAAGAUUUAAUAUUCAAAAUCCGAAAUUCUUUCUAAAAGGGAAAGCUGUUAAUUUCUCAUAAAUCUAAAAGCCUUUUUAAAUUUUUUUCCUAGACAGAAUGAAUGACCAAACUGUUCCAAGCAUAGGCUCAUUAAG